rnacentral:lncRNA from 1 species
AAUUUCAGCGUUCUUUCUGCAAUGGAAACAAAUAGCAUAAAAGAAUACUACAUGUUCUCAGAAUGAAAUGCUAUCUUCUGCUUUAAUUCCUAUGUUCGACAGCCUAGUAGUGACCUCACAGUGGAUUCUGUGAUGAAAACUAUGCUGCAGCUGGAGACUCGAGUCUCCAGUCAUGUGGAGUGCUAUCUCACACCUGUGCUCACGAAGCCAAUGUGUGUGCUUCCCUUUGCCUCAACCCCUUCAGGCUUUAGUUCCUCACAACUUUGGGCUGGGAAGCAAGAACAGGAUUCUUGAUUCUUCAGGGGAUACUCAGGUGGAGGAGGAAGAAGAAAUCAGCAUUUGGAGACAAUAAAAUGGGAAAGCCUAUCAUCUAGACCUGCUUCGUCCAAAAUUAUGGGAACCAGUAGGGAGAAGUUCAGUUCAGCAAUUUUAUACAGAUGCAAAGUGAGACUGCGACAGCUGGGACAACGGUUCAAAUCAUGAUGUUCAAGUGCUUCGCCUAUGGAGCCUAAAGAUUCUCAUCAAACCUCCAGUAGUCACUAUUUCUGUGUCUUCCUUGUCUGGAAGCUGUUGUCAGAGUGGCACUAAGAGUUCUACGCUUGUCAACAGGAGCAAU